GACGGAGGAUGCAAGCGUUAUCCGGAAUUAUUGGGCGUAAAGCGUCCGCAGGUGGUUAUACAAGUCUGCUUUCAAAGAGUGCGGCUCAACCGCAUAGAGGGAGUGGAAACUGUAUGACUAGAGUUCGGUAGGGGUAGAGGGAAUUCCAGGUGUAGCGGUGAAAUGCGUAGAUAUCUGGAAGAACACCAGUGGCGAAAGCGCUCUACUGGGCCUGAACUGACACUGAGGGACGAAAGCUAGGGGAGCGAAAGGG
rnacentral:rRNA from 1 species